UACGUAGGGUGCAGGCGUUAAUCGGAAUUAUUGGGCGUAAAGCGCGCGUAGGCGGCUUUGCAAGUCGGGUGUGAAAGCCCUCAGCUCAACUGAGGAAGUGCGCCCGAAACUGCAGAGCUUGAGUGCCGGAGAGGGUGGCGGAAUUCCCCAAGUAGAGGUGAAAUUCGUAGAUAUGGGGAGGAACACCGGUGGCGAAGGCGGCCACCUGGACGGUAACUGACGCUGAGGCGCGAAAGCGUGGGUAGCAAACAGG
rnacentral:rRNA from 1 species